rnacentral:rRNA from 1 species
CACGUAGGGCGCGAGCGUUGUCCGGAAUUAUUGGGCGUAAAGAGCUCGUAGGCGGCCUGUUGCGUCCGCUGUGAAAGCCCGGGGCUUAACCCCGGGUCGGCAGUGGAUACGGGCAGGCUAGAGGUAGGUAGGGGAGAAUGGAAUUCCCGGUGUAGAGGUGAAAUUCGUAGAUAUCGGGAGGAACACCGGUGGCGAAGGCGGCGAUCUGGGUAGAUACUGACGCUGAGGUGCGAAAGCGUGGGGAGCAAACAGG